rnacentral:rRNA from 1 species
UACGUAGGGUCCAAGCGUUAUCCGGAAUCACUGGGCGUAAAGCGUGCGUAGGUGGCGCGUUAAGUGAGAUGUUAAAUCGUGUGGCUCAACCAUAUCGAUGCACCUCAUACUGGCGUGCUAGAGGACAGCAGAGGCAAGUGGAAUUUGUAGUGUAGCAGUGAAAUGCGUAGAUAUUACAAGGAACACCAAUGGCGAAGGCAGCUUGCUGGGCUACUCCUGACACUGAGGUACGAAAGCGUGGGGAGCGAACAGG